GGCGGCCUACCGGGACUGAUCAGACUGUAAAUCUGCCGGCUCAGCCUUCCCAGGUUCGAAUCCUGGCGCCGCCA
rnacentral:tRNA from 1 species